rnacentral:rRNA from 1 species
ACAUAGGUAACCUGCCCCUGUGCGGGGGACAACAGGAGGAAACUCCUGCUAAUACCGCAUAGCCAUGGGCACCGCAUGGAGCUCAUGCCAAAUAUCCUUUCGGGGAUAGCGCAGGGAUGGACCUAUGGCGCAUUAGCUUGUUGGCGGGGCAACGGCCCACCAAGGCAACGAUGCGUAGCCGGCCUGAGAGGGCGGACGGCCACAUUGGGACUGAGACACGGCCCAGACUCCUACGGGAGGCAGCAGUAGGGAAUUUUCGGCAAUGGGGGAAACCCUGACCGAGCAACGCCGCGUGAGCGAAGAAGGCCUUCGGGUCGUAAAGCUCUGUUGUAAAGGAAGAACGGCGCAUACAGGAAAUGGUAUGCGAGUGACGGUACUUUACCAGAAAGCCACGGCUAACUACGUGCCAGCAGCCGCGGUAAUACGUAGGUGGCGAGCGUUAUCCGGAAUCAUUGGGCGUAAAGAGGGAGCAGGCGGCCGCAAGGGUCUGUGGUGAAAGACCGAAGCUAAACUUCGGUAAGCCAUGGAAACCGGGCGGCUAGAGUGCGGAAGAGGAUCGUGGAAUUCCAUGUGUAGCGGUGAAAUGCGUAGAUAUAUGGAGGAACACCAG